rnacentral:lncRNA from 1 species
CCAUGUAUAAGGAGGUGCUCAAAAGAUAGUAAACAAGCUGAUGAGCACAUCUGUGUUUAUAAUGUGCCAGGAACUAGGGAAACAAAGAGUGGGUGCUGUUUGCUGGGUGAGCAAACUGAGGAGUACAUUAUAUAUCUGCAUUAAAAUACAACAGUCCCAGGAUCUUGGGAUGCCUUUUACAUGUGAAUACAUCAAUCUAGGGAUUGGGUAGAUUUUCUACAGUUCAGGGGCAAUUCUCAUUUCACUUGGUUAUUGGUGAUCUAAUUUCAAGAUCACUGACACUACCUUCCCAGCAAACAUAAAGAAUUAAUUCUGUAGAGGCUUUUUCUAAUAAAGCAGCCUGUCACUGUUAAGCACAGCCUUUUUCUGUCUCAAAUGCUAGAAAAAAGAAAACACUGCAAGGGAGUAUUGCCUCUGUGUUUGUGAGUGUGUGUGUGUGAGUGUGUGUGUGUGUGUAAAUUCAGAAUGCCUUGAUGUAGAAAGCCCUUGAUGUUCCCACAGACUGCCUCAGAAAAACUGCAAUCCAAUACUCCAGCCUGGAAAUCACAGCCAGGAGACUGUACAGCACCUUCUCAAAGGAUGAAAUAGCCCAGGUAUUUGGACAAAUUAAUAGAGGUGGUUAUGGCUGUGCUUAAUGAACUUUGGAAUACUACAGUUCUUCCAGACUACUUCUUCAGUGACCUGGGGACAAUUACCAGGGAUCUACUGAGAUGCUAACCAGGAUGCUGGACAGCUUGUCUAUUCCACAACUACUAGGCAGACUCCUGGUAAGCUAUGAAUGAGAAGACCACAGUGAUACCAACAGAGACAUUUUCUGAACACCUUUAUUUUAUUGUGAGGCUUAAAUUAUGUUGUCUGAUUUGUGAAGCUCAAAGUGAGGUAAGUCACAGCUAAGUACAUGGUUACCUGUCAACCAAAUACAUUGAAGUUGUUACUUAUAGCUGAUAAAGAAAUAUUAUUCCUAUAAAUCAAUUAUUAUGAUAAAAUGCUAGAGUAUAUAAA